AAGUCGGAUGUGAAAUCCCCGGGCUCAACCUGGGAACUGCAUUCGAAACUGGCAGGCUAGAGUCUUGUAGAGGGGGGUAGAAUUCCAGGUGUAGCGGUGAAAUGCGUAGAGAUCUGGAGGAAUACCGGUGGCGAAGGCGGCCCCCUGGACAAAGACUGACGCUCAGGUGCGAAAGCGUGGGGAGCAAACAGGAUUAGAUACCCUGGUAGUCCACGCCGUAAACGAUGUCGAUUUGGAGGUUGUGCCCUUGAGGCGUGGCUUCCGGAGCUAACGCGUUAAAUCGACCGCCUGGGGAGUACGGCCGCAAGGUUAAAACUCAAAUGAAUUGACGGGGGCCCGCACAAGCGGUGGAGCAUGUGGUUUAAUUCGAUGCAACGCGAAGAACCUUACCUG
rnacentral:rRNA from 1 species